rnacentral:lncRNA from 1 species
GCCAUAUUAAGUGUGGCGGCCAGUGUUAGAAGCCAUCUUGGCUGACCAAUACCUCGCGAUAUUCUGUCUGCAGUCCUUCCCUUGUUGAUCUUUUUAGUUUUCCACCUUCCUUUCAGUUUCAGUUUAGAUGUAAUUUUAUCUGUGAGGCUUCCCUUAGCUUCUUCAGUCAGUUUAGUUACCCCUCCUUCCUCUAAAUCGCUUUGCACUUAUAACUCAUAGCCUUGUUCAAGGCUUAGGCGGAAUUUUGUAAUGAACAAAAUGGAUAGGAUCCUAGUCUUCACAGAGUUACCGUUGUGACAAGUGCUUGUCAUUCAUUCAUUCAACAAACAUUUAAUAAAUGUCUCCUGUGCACCAAGCAGUGGGAUAAAAUGAGGAACAAGUGUCUGCAGUCACGCAACAAAAAAUGGAUUAAGACGCCAAGAGUGGAGAGUCCCUGCACAAACUGGAUUCAACAAGGACAGAAAGGAAGCCCAAACGCUUUACAUAUUGCCUGCUUUACACCCCAGGCUCAAGUCCAGAAAGUCCCUGUGAUACAACUCUCCAGUGAUUUCCCCUGAGGUCCAACCUAGUAGGUGCUUAAAAAGUCUUUGUUGUAAAUUAAUAAAUUAAUCCAAAACCACCACACUGCUAUUUCCUCCUACCUAUCUUCCUGUGCCUAUCAUAAGCUGUAUCACCCGGGGAAAAACAUUUUUCAGCUAAAUUUAGAACAGGGAGGGUUUUGGUUCCAUAAUUCCACUUCUAGUAAUAGAUUCUAAGGAAAUAAUCAGAUUUAGAUAAAGAUAGGUGUAUGAUAAUAUUCAGGCAAUGGUGUUUUCAAUAGUGUAAAGUUGGGAUCAACCUAAUUUGAAAAAUAGCCAAUAAGAAAAUGGCUAACUUUGAGGGGCCAGGCACCGUGGCUCAUGCCUGUAAUCUCAGCACUUUGGGAAGUUGAG